AGAGUUUGAUCAUGGCUCAGGAUGAACGCUGGCGGUCUGCUUAACACAUGCAAGUCGAACGGACCUUUUCGGAGGUUAGUGGCGGACGGGUGAGUAACGCGUGAGAAUCUGCCUUCAGGUUGGGGACAACAGUUGGAAACGACUGCUAAUACCCAAUGUGCCGAGAGGUGAAAGCUUUAGUGCCUGAGGAUGAGCUCGCGUCUGAUUAGCUAGUUGGAGUGGUAAUGGCACACCAAGGCGACGAUCAGUAGCUGGUCUGAGAGGAUGAUCAGCCACACUGGGACUGAGACACGGCCCAGACUCCUACGGGAGGCAGCAGUGGGGAAUUUUCCGCAAUGGGCGCAAGCCUGACGGAGCAAGACCGCGUGAGGGAGGAAGGCUCUUGGGUUGUAAACCUCUUUUAUCAGGGAAGAAGAUCUGACGGUACCUGAUGAAUCAGCAUCGGCUAACUCCGUGCCAGCAGCCGCGGUAAUACGGAGGAUGCAAGCGUUAUCCGGAUUUAUUGGGCGUAAAGCGUCCGCAGGUGGUUUUACAAGUCUGCUGUUAAAGCGCGAGGCUUAACCUCGUAUAGGCAGUGGAAACUGUGAGACUAGAGUAUGGUAGGGGUAGCGGGAAUUCCCAGUGUAGCGGUGAAAUGCGUAGAUAUUGGGAAGAACACCAGCGGCGAAAGCGCGCUACUGGGCCAUUACUGACACUCAUGGACGAAAGCUAGGGGAGCGAAAGGGAUUAGAUACCCCCGUAGUCC
rnacentral:rRNA from 1 species